rnacentral:rRNA from 1 species
AACGAACGCUGGCGGCAUGCCUAACACAUGCAAGUCGAACGAGACCUUCGGGUCUAGUGGCGCACGGGUGCGUAACGCGUGGGAACCUGCCUUUAGGUUCGGAAUAACUCAGAGAAAUUUGAGCUAAUACCGGAUGAUGUCUUCGGACCAAAGAUUUAUCGCCUUUAGAUGGGCCCGCGUUGGAUUAGCUAGUUGGUGGGGUAAAGGCCUACCAAGGCGACGAUCCAUAGCUGGUCUGAGAGGAUGAUCAGCCACACUGGGACUGAGACACGGCCCAGACUCCUACGGGAGGCAGCAGUGGGGAAUAUUGGACAAUGGGCGAAAGCCUGAUCCAGCAAUGCCGCGUGAGUGAUGAAGGCCUUAGGGUUGUAAAGCUCUUUUACCCGAGAUGAUAAUGGCAGUAGCGGGAGAAUAAGCUCCGGCUAACUCCGUG